AAUAAGGAUUUUAUUCGGAGGCACACCUGGAGUCAUUAAAAGAAUUAUAAUGCUGCUGUUCGGACACAACUGGAGAAGAAUGAGUCACAAAACCGAGACAGAGCAGGCGAUAGUCAACAUAACCGUGAACCUGCGCUGAACUCUCUGAGUCAGACUCACCUGGACGAUCUGAUUCUCGCUGCUCCGUUGGGCCUUGCACCUGGGUACAUCACACCUGCCACUCAGCUGCUGCCUGUCCGCCCUCAGUCUCCACAACAUCACGCCAACUGCUGGAACUCCCAAGGACUCCCCUCUGCCUACCUCAACCCGGCGACUAGUAAUGGCUUCUUCCUCAAGGAACCCCGCUUCAGGCCAUAACUUGUUCGAUUGACAACAUCCUGCUACCAGCUUUCACCAGCAUCUUCAGAGGUUAAUUUUGGGAUACGGCGGCCGCCUGGCAGACAGCGCUGAUGGAGACUUGAAAAACUUUCAGGAAUCCUGCGGGUGAAAGAAAAAGCUGACAUGACAGAUGAUGUAGGAAUUGGCAAGCAGCUGGCACAGUGCAGGCAGACCGAGCUCCAGCGUCUCGCAGAACUCAGGUCUGCUCUGCUUGCUGACUGGGCCAGUCCAGGCGGCACAUGUUCCCCACCGUCCCGUUGCCCUUGGGGAAGGACUUGAGGACGCUGAAGA